rnacentral:rRNA from 1 species
AGAUUUGAUUAUGGCUCAGGAUGAACGCUGGCGGCGUGCUUAACACAUGCAAGUCGAACGGAGUUUUUAAACGGAAGUCUUCGGAUGGAAGUUUAAAACUUAGUGGCGGACGGGUGAGUAACGCGUGGGUAACCUGCCUCAUACAGGGGGAUAACAGUUAGAAAUGACUGCUAACACCGCAUAAUAUAGCGAAACCGCAUGAUUUUGCUAUCAAAUAUUUAUAGGUAUGAGAUGGGCCCGCGUCUGAUUAGCUAGUUGGUGGGGUAAAAGCCUACCAAGGCGACGAUCAGUAGCCGGCUUGAGAGAGUGACCGGCCACAUUGGGACUGAGACACGGCCCAAACUCCUACGGGAGGCAGCAGUGGGGAAUAUUGGACAAUGGGGGAAACCCUGAUCCAGCGAACCGCCGCGUGAGUGAAGAAGUAUUUCGGUAUGUAAAGCUCUAUCAGCAGGGAAGAUAAUGACAGUACCUGACUAAGAAGCCCCGGCUAACUACGUGCCAGCCGCUGC